rnacentral:lncRNA from 1 species
GAGAGCAUGAGCCUGGAACUAAGUUCGUGAAACUGCUCUCCUGUUGUUCUUCCCUCGGGUUUGGGACCUGCUGGCAGGAUUCUGACGUUGCAGCUCGCGACAUACUAACUCAGAGCCCUCUUCCAGAAUCUACUUUAAGAACAAUUCAUCAACAGAUGCUGCCAAGCUUCCUAGUGCACUAAAGCCAAGCUUGUAAUGGAACAUCAAGCAGCUGUGGAUGGUUAGAGGCAGCAAAUCGUUCCUCAGUCAUGGGCUCCAGGAUGAAGAAAAGAAAAUCAAUUCCGGGUGAAGUUGGAAGAGCAGUUACUUUUAAGGAAGGCAAUUUCUGAGGUCACGAGAUGCUCUCUUGGAAUGUUGGAUUGUGGGUGACCAUCUCCCAACAGCAAGAGGUUAUGGUGCUCCUGUCUGCAGAGGAGAAGGACAAAGAGGCAGAGGAAUCUCUCACUUCAAAUGAGAUUAGGGAGAUGUGUAAAAUGUGGGAAACAAUGCAAAAUUUUGUAGGAAACUGCUCGAAUAAGGCUGUAGUAGUGUGAGUAAUCAAUUUGUUUAAUGGCAAUGCAAUGUCACAUUUCUGUGAAAUCCUCAAAAGGAGGCAAAAGCCAGUAUCAUUGGAUAGGGUCCUUGUUAAAGUUGCCCAAAAAGAAAAAGAUUCCUUUGAACAGUGAUAGAUAACAAUAAUUUUGUUAGUGAUAGUGAAAGUCAUCCUACCCAAUAACCCUCCUCUCAUCUCCCCCACCUAGUCAUGAAGGUUUGAGGAGGU